rnacentral:rRNA from 1 species
AGUGAACGCUGGCGGUAGGCCUAACACAUGCAAGUCGAACGGCAGCACAGUAAGAGCUUGCUCUUACGGGUGGCGAGUGGCGGACGGGUGAGGAAUACAUCGGAAUCUACUUUUUCGUGGGGGAUAACGUAGGGAAACUUACGCUAAUACCGCAUACGACCUACGGGUGAAAGCAGGGGAUCUUCGGACCUUGCGCGAUUGAAUGAGCCGAUGUCGGAUUAGCUAGUUGGCGGGGUAAAGGCCCACCAAGGCGACGAUCCGUAGCUGGUCUGAGAGGAUGACCAGCCACACGGGAACUGAGACACGGUCCAGACUCCUACGGGAGGCAGCAGUGGGGAAUAUUCGACAAUGGGCGCAAGCCUGAUCCAGCCAUACCGCGUGGGUGAAGAAGGCCUUCGGGUUGUAAAGCCCUUUUAUUGGGAAAGAAAAGCAGCAGGCUAAUACCCCGCUGUUCUGACGGUACCCAAAGAAUAAGCACCGGCUAACUUCGUG